AUUGAACGCUGGCGGCAGGCCUAACACAUGCAAGUCGAGCGGAUGAAGGGAGCUUGCUCCUGGAUUCAGCGGCGGACGGGUGAGUAAUGCCUAGGAAUCUGCCUGGUAGUGGGGGAUAACGUCCGGAAACGGGCGCUAAUACCGCAUACGUCCUGAGGGAGAAAGUGGGGGAUCUUCGGACCUCACGCUAUCAGAUGAGCCUAGGUCGGAUUAGCUAGUUGGUGGGGUAAAGGCCUACCAAGGCGACGAUCCGUAACUGGUCUGAGAGGAUGAUCAGUCACACUGGAACUGAGACACGGUCCAGACGCCUACGGGAGGCAGCAGUGGGGAAUAUUGGACAAUGGGCGAAAGCCUGAUCCAGCCAUGCCGCGGGUGUGAAGAAGGUCUUCGGAUUGUAAAGCACUUUAAGUUGGGAGGAAGGGCAGUAAGUUAAUACCUUGCUGUUUUGACGUUACCAACAGAAUAAGCACCGGCUAACUUCGU
rnacentral:rRNA from 1 species